UGGGGAAUAUUGGACAAUGGGCGCAAGCCUGAUCCAGCCAUGCCGCGUGUGUGAAGAAGGCCUUUUGGUUGUAAAGCACUUUAAGCGAGGAGGAGGCUACCGAGAUUAAUACUCUUGGAUAGUGGACGUUACUCGCAGAAUAAGCACCGGCUAACUCUGUGCCAGCAGCCGCGGUAAUACAGAGGGUGCGAGCGUUAAUCGGAUUUACUGGGCGUAAAGCGUGCGUAGGCGGCUUCUUAAGUCGGAUGUGAAAUCCCUGAGCUUAACUUAGGAAUUGCAUUCGAUACUGGGAAGCUAGAGUAUGGGAGAGGAUGGUAGAAUUCCAGGUGUAGCGGUGAAAUGCGUAGAGAUCUGGAGGAAUACCGAUGGCGAAGGCAGCCAUCUGGCCUAAUACUGACGCUGAGGUACGAGAGCAUGGGGAGCAAACAGG
rnacentral:rRNA from 1 species